rnacentral:pre_miRNA from 1 species
GGUGGCUCCGCUCGCCGGAGCAGCGUGCAACGGAGGGAUCCCGCGCGCUGCUCCGUCGAGCGUGGCCACC